AUUGAACGCUGGCGGCAUGCCUAACACAUGCAAGUCGAACGGCAGCACGGCAGUAGCAAUACUGUGGGUGGCGAGUGGCGGACGGGUGAGGAAUACGUCGGAAUCUGCCCAGUCGUGGGGGAUAACUAGCCGAAAGGUUAGCUAAUACCGCAUACGACCGAGAGGUGAAAGCGGGGGACCGCAAGGCCUCGCGCGAUUGGAUGAGCCGACGUCGGAUUAGCUAGUUGGUGGGGUAAAGGCCACCAAGGCGACGAUCCGUAGCUGGUCUGGGAGGAUGAUCAGCCACACUGGAACUGAGACACGGUCCAGACUCCUACGGGAGGCAGCAGUGGGGAAUAUUGGACAAUGGGCGCAAGCCUGAUCCAGCAAUGCCGCGUGUGUGAAGAAGGCCUCGGUUGUAAGGUCACUUUAUCUAGACGAAAGACGU
rnacentral:rRNA from 1 species